UAGCUAGUUGGUGAGGUAAAGGCUUACCAAGGCGACGAUCUGUAGCGGGUCUGAGAGGAUGAUCCGCCACACUGGAACUGAGACACGGUCCAGACUCCUACGGGAGGCAGCAGUGGGGAAUUUUGGACAAUGGGGGCAACCCUGAUCCAGCCAUGCCGCGUGAGUGAAGAAGGCCUUCGGGUUGUAAAGCUCUUUCGGCCGGGAAGAAAUCGCAUGGGCCAAUACCCUGUGUGGAUGACGGUACCGGAAUAAGAAGCACCGGCUAACUACGUGCCAGCAGCCGCGGUAAUACGUAGGGUGCGAGCGUUAAUCGGAAUUACUGGGCGUAAAGCGUGCGCAGGCGGUUUUGUAAGACAGGCGUGAAAUCCCCGGGCUUAACCUGGGAACUGCGUUAGUGACUGCAAGGCUAGAGUACGGCAGAGGGGGGUGGAAUUCCACGUGUAGCAGUGAAAUGCGUAGAGAUGUGGAGGAACACCAAUGGCGAAGGCAGCCCCCUGGGUCGAUACUGACGCUCAUGCACGAAAGCGUGGGUAGCAAACAGGAUUAGAUACCCUGGUAGUCCACGCCCUAAACUAUGUCAACUAGGUGUUGGGUGGGUAAAACCAUUUAGUACCGUAGCUAACGCGUGAAGUUGACCGCCUGGGGAGUACGGCCGCAAGGUUAAAACUCAAAGGAAUUGACGGGGACCCGCACAAGCGGUGGAUGAUGUGGAUUAAUUCGAUGCAACGCGAAAAACCUUACCUACCCUUGACAUGCCAGGAACUUGCCAGAGAUGGCUUGGUGCCCGAAAGGGAGCCUGGACACAGGUGCUGCAUGGCUGUCGUCAGCUCGUGUCGUGAGAUGUUGGGUUAAGUCCCGCAACGAGCGCAACCCUUGUCGUUAAUUGCCAUCAUUUAGUUGGGCACUUUAACGAGACUGCCGGUGACAAACCGGAGGAAGGUGGGGAUGACGUCAAGUCCUCAUGGCCCUUAUGGGUAGGGCUUCACACGUCAUACAAUGGUCGGUACAAAGGGUUGCCAAGCCGCGAGGCGGAGCCAACCCCAGAAAGCCGAUCGUAGUCCGGAUUGCAGGCUGCAACUUGCCUGCAUGAAGUCGGAAUCGCUAGUAAUCGUGGAUCAGCAUGUCACGGUGAAUACGUUCCCGGGUCUUGUACACACCGCCCGUCACACCAUGGGAGCGGGUUCCGCCAGAAGUAGGUAGCCUAACCGCAAGGGGGGCGCUUACCACGGCGGGGUUCGUGACUGGGGUGAAGUCGUAACAGGGUAGCCGUAGGGGAACCUGCGGCUG
rnacentral:rRNA from 1 species